UACAGAGGUGGCAAGCGUUGUUCGGAAUUACUGGGCGUAAAGGGCGCGUAGGCGGUUCGUUAAGUCCUGUGUGAAAUCCCCCGGCUCAACUGGGGAACUGCACAGGAAACUAGCGGGCUUGAGUUCGGGAGAGGGAUGCAGAAUUCCAGGUGUAGCGGUGAAAUGCGUAGAUAUCUGGAGGAAUACCGGUGGCGAAGGCGGCAUCCUGGACCGACAUUGACGCUGAGGAGCGAAAGCUAGGGGAGCAAACGGG
rnacentral:rRNA from 1 species